rnacentral:lncRNA from 1 species
CCUCGUUCCUUACUGGUAUGUACUGGUGGGGCCUUUCUGGGUUACUGGGCCAUACUGGGCCCUUACUGGUCCAUACUGGUCCCCCCCCAGGUGGGCACGUGGGCGGCCGCCCGGCGUUUCGGGGCCCUGCACGCGGCCUGGGCCCUACUGGUGGCCGGGGCGGGCGCCUGCCUCCUGCGGGCUGGUUACUGGGGCUGCCUGCGGGUCAGCCACCCCCUGCCCCGCCACGCCUGAACACGCCUGGAACACGCCUGGGACACGCCUCGGACACGCCUGGGACACGCCUCGGACACGGGACACGCGUGGCGGACGCGUGUGGGGCGUGGGACACGCGGUGGGUGGGGUGGGGGCACGUUAAGGACGUGUUUGGGGCAUGGAACAUGUUAAGGACAUGGGAACAUGUUAAGGACAUGUGUAAGUCAUGGGACAUCCUCUGGACAUGCUUGGGGCAUGGGAACAUGUUAAGGACAUGGGAUGUGCUUCGGACGUGCUUCGGUCGUGGGAACAUGUGUCGGGCGUGGGAACAUGUUAAGGACACGCUUGGGUCAUGGAACAUGUUAAGGACAUGCUUAGGUCAUGCGAGAUCCAUUGGACACGCUUCGGUCAUGGGACAUGUUAAGGACAUGCUUAGGUCAUGGCACAGCCAUCAGACACCUUUGAGUCAUGGAACAUGUUAAGAACACGCUUACGUCAUGGGACAUCCAUUGAACACGCUUCAGUCACGGGAACAUGUUAAGAACACACUAAGGUCACGGGAACACCCUGCGGUCACGUGACACGCGUCGGGCACGGGAACACGCUAAGGACACGCUAAGGUCACGUGAUCAUGCUAAGGACACGCUAAGGUCACGUGGUCAUAUAACCGCCCCAUAACCGCCCCGUAACCACCCCGUAACCACCCCGUAAGGACCGACCGACCCCAUAUAGAAAAGAAUGACGUCAUUUAUUGCCAUUUUGGGUGGGUUUCAGACAUUUUUGGGUCAGCGUUGAACCCAACUCAAGACGCAAACCCAAUGGAAGGAUCUAACGGGGUCGUUAUGGGGCGAGUUAUGGGGUCGUUAUGGGGCGAGUUAUGGGGUCGUUAUGGGGUCGUUACGGGAUGACCUUAUAGGGUCAUUAUGGGACGAAUUUAUGGGGUCGUUUUGGGGUCGUUAUAGGACGACCUCAUAGUGUCAUUAUAGGAUGAGCUUGUAGGGUCGUUAUGGGAUGAACUUAUGGGGUCGCUAUAGGACAACCUUAUAGGGUCAUUUUGGGGUCGUUAUAGGAUGGCCUUAUAGGGUCAUAAUGGGAUGAACUUAUAGGGUCGUUACAGGAUGAAAUUAUAGGGUCAUUCUAGCACAACCUUAUAGGGUCAGGUCGGGGUCGUUAUAGGGUGACCUUAUAGGGUCUUUUUGGGGUCAUAAUGGGAUGAACUUAUGGGGUCGUUAUGGGAUGACCUUAUAGGGUCAUUAAGGGAUGGCCUUAUAGGGUCAUCAUGGGACGAAUUUAUGGGGUCAUUAUGGGACGAAUUUA